rnacentral:rRNA from 1 species
CCUACGGGUGGCAGCAGUGAGGAAUAUUGGUCAAUGGACGAGAGUCUGAACCAGCCAAGUAGCGUGAAGGAUGACUGCCCUAUGGGUUGUAAACUUCUUUUAUAAAGGAAUAAAACGAGGCACGUGUGCCUUUUUGCAUGUACUUUAUGAAUAAGGAUCGGCUAACUCCGUGCCAGCAGCCGCGGUAAUACGGAGGAUCCGAGCGUUAUCCGGAUUUAUUGGGUUGAAAGGGAGGAUAGAUGGGGUGUUAAGUCAGUUGUGAAAGUUUGCGGCUCAACCGUAAAAUUGCAAUUGAUACUGGAAGUCUUGAGUACAGUUGAGGUAGGCGGAAUUCGUGGUGUAGCGGUGAAAUGCUUAGAUAUCACGAAGAACCCCGAUUGCGAAGGCAGCUUACUAAACUGUGACUGACAUUGAUGCUCGAAAGUGUGGGUAUCAAACAGGAUUAGAUACCCCAGUAGUC